UGAGGUAGUAGAUUGUAUGGUUUUAGGGUCACACCCUCGGUUGGGAGAUAACUAUGCAAUCUACUGUCUUUC
rnacentral:pre_miRNA from 1 species